rnacentral:rRNA from 1 species
GAUGAACGCUAGCGGCAGGCUUAACACAUGCAAGUCGAGGGGCGAGCGAGAGAGUAGCAAUACUUUUGUUCGGCGACCGGCGCAAGGGUGCGUAACGCGUGAGCAACAUGCCCGUAACAGGCGGAUAGACCGUGGAAACGCGGCGUAAACCGCCAUAAGUUGGGAGUAGGCAUCUAUUUCGAAUGAAAUCUUCGGAGGUUACGGAUUGGCUCGCGAGACAUUAGCCAGUUGGCGGGGUAACGGCCCACCCAAAGACUACGAUGUCUAGGGGUUCGUUGAGAGGAA